rnacentral:rRNA from 1 species
UACGUAGGGUGCGAGCGUUGUCCGGAAUUAUUGGGCGUAAAGAGCUCGUAGGCGGUGUGUCGCGUCGGCCGUGAAAACCUGCAGCUUAACUGUGGGCUUGAGGUCGAUACGGGCAUCACUGGAGUUCGGCAGGGGAGACUGGAAUUCCUGGUGUAGCGGUGAAAUGCGCAGAUAUCAGGAGGAACACCGGUGGCGAAGGCGGGUCUCUGGGCCGAUACUGACGCUGAGGAGCGAAAGCGUGGGGAGCGAACAGG